UCUCUGUGACAAUGCAUCACUGCGAGAUUUAGUGAUGUGAACAGUGGUGUCCUGCAUGCUAUGCGACUGACCAGUUUCCAGUGCUGGCCAGAGGCAGACACGAGUUUCGAUUUUGGUGAUGAGGAGAUAAACAAGCUCACAAGUCACUUCCGACCUCUUCUGCUGGAGUGGAUGUGGACUUGAUCCCUGAUCAAUGGACAAUUCUUAAGGCUGAACUGUACACAGCAGGAUUUAGCCAAGGAACUUUUGAGAAAACCUGGCCUACUGUGAACAGAAUGCUGCGCCAUCGGUGUCCUGACGUCCUUUACCUCUUUGAUGCUCUCCUCACCAUCCCUGCAAGUACAGCUGACUGUGAAAGAGGGUUCAGUGUCAUGAAGCAGGUAAAGAGUGACUGGCGUUCACGCCCAAAGUCUCCUAACGAUCUUCGUCCUGUAGCUCUAACCUCCUUGGUGAUGAAGGCCAUGGAGAAGAUCAUAAAA